rnacentral:lncRNA from 1 species
UAGAGUUUAGAUAUUGGAUUACAAAAACUACAAGAAUCGUUUCAAAAGCAUUGAGAAAAGUGUAGCUCCAGGUUAUUAUUUUGGUCUAGAAAGACUGCGAUCUAUAAAUAUUAGGCUGUGACAGCCUGCCAGAACUUCUCUUGCAGCACCUACUGAUUGGAGUUUUUCUAAAGAAGCUUCACAAAAGCAGAAGCAGCAGAAGACGGAGUCACCCUACAGGUGCACGCUGCGGCAGUUCUCUCUUCAGUCUUCCCAACAGGAUUUCUGAGACUCUGUACCUCAACAUCUUUAUUGCCAAAUGAGAGCCUUAAAGAACGGGGAGAGGAAGAAAACAAUGACCCACAAGUCUCCAGCUUGCCUUUUCAGACAAACACCUCCUGCUUUUUCAUCCAUUUGAGGAACACUGCAACAGGGCAGAACACAGCUGUGAAGGCGUUUUCACCUCUUAGCGGCUCAGCAAUGGCAGCGACAACUGAAAGUCUAAGGGCAGUGCUACUGGUGACAGGUAUUUAAAACAACACUCUUUAAAAAUUACCCCCCUGCCUUCAUUUUGUUGUUUCCCUGUCCAUCAUCUAAGAAACAAACACACUGUGUCUGGUUUUAUUAAUGCUAAUGUACUCAGAAAAACGACGCCCGCGAGAGGGGAGAGCCCCGUGCCUGGGAGAACCCCACCGCAUUCGGCCUUCGGAAGGCACGGGCCUACCCCGGCACGGCCCCGAGCGAUUCCGCUGCUCCUGAGCUGAGAAAGCUCCUCUCUUCUUCCUGCCCACGUGCCGCUCCCCACCCAAGCCCCCUUCUCGGAGCAGCCUUCCAUCAGCCUCGUGCCCCCAUCGGAGCACUUCAUCACGCC